UACGUAGGGCGCAAGCGUGUCCGGAAUUAUUGGGCGUAAAGCGCGCGUAGGCGGCUACCUAAGUCGGAUGUGAAAGCCCCUGGCUUAACUGGGGAAGUGCACCCGAAACUGAGUAGCUAGAGUGCGAAAGAGGGUCGCGGAAUUCCCGGUGUAGAGGUGAAAUUCGUAGAUAUCGGGAGGAACACCGGUGGCGAAGGCGGCGACCUGGGGCUUUUCUGACGCUGAGGAACGAAAGCCAGGGGAGCGAACAGG
rnacentral:rRNA from 1 species